GAAGUGGCUGAGGUUGGUUAGAGCCUGGUGCUGAUAAUCCCAUGGUUGCAGGUUUGAUCCCUGCAUGGAACA